GUGCCCGCGCCCCCACGAGGCCGGCCCCGUCUGCGGCACCGACGGCCGCACCUACCCCACCGAGUGCGACCUGCGCGCCGCCGCCUGCAGCCUGCGCGACGGCACCCGCCUCAGCCACCACGGGCCGUGCGAUGAGACAGAAGCAUUUGCAGACGAAGCAGCAGAUUCUACUGUUGGCUAAGCAGCUGGUUUAGUUUAUGAGAGUAGCAGGAAAGUAGCAUUACAUCUAGAUGCGUGCCGCGGCGAUGGUUCGGAAAGAGAACGACUUCGCAGCUGGCAGCCGGUUGACAGCCUGUUCUCUGGCGAUAGCUUUCACUCUCUUCACAGAGUCUGUUAUCUGUAGCUUAACAUGUACAAGUAGUAAACAAUAUAAUACAAGCAACAAUGGCCUUGA